GGAGCAGACAGAGCAGACACACUAAAUAACAAACUUAACAGCUUUGAAAGUAGACUUACAGCUAGAGCACGACAUAAUGCUUUGGUGCUGUGGAGAAGAUUUAGAAAGAGCAGCAGAGAGACUGAAAGAGCAGGAGAGAUGGUGAGACAGUGAGAGUGGGUCAAGCCAAGUCUUUGAUUCACACUUCUUAAAGGGGCUUGUGUGAACUCCUGGGGCCAACACUAUGCCGACAUUACAAACAUCACUUCAUCAUGGUCAUAAGCCUCUCGCAAAUGUGAAAUGUUUGGACGUGGGAUUCUUGAAAAAUCGCCCAAUGGAUGAGUUACCAAAGCAGAUAACAGAUUGGAGGUUUUGUUGCAUCUUAUGGGCCUGUACUUGAGUCUUAAAGCAUUAAAAUUAACACUGAUAGCAAGAUAAGAAAUGUGUCAGGGCAUUACUGUGCUGUGUGCUGUCUUGAAAUUUAGAUGUUUGCUUGUUUAGUUUUGCACUGGAGACACAAUCCCACACACACUCCUCCUCAUAGUUUAGCAUUGUCCAAACCGCUGCAUGAAUUGUCACAUGCUUACCUCAGACCAUCUCAGACAGACUUGCUGAUAUGGUUUCUGUCACUGUAUACCAUACUGCUAUGUUUAAAAAGAGACAAAAUGACAUUGCAGAGCUAAAAAGUCAUUAUCACAAUCAUUAUUAAAGCCCAAUCACUUUCAAUCACUUUCUUCUUGUACCUAAGAACUGCUGCUGUAAUCAUAAAUAUCUACUGAACUGAAUCCUUUCAGCACAUUUACUAUUGUUUACUUUAUAGUAUAUAAUUGGAGCAGAGUAAUGCCACCUAAAAGAGGAUGGGUUCCUUUCUGGGUCCUUUCUGUUGAGGUUUCCACCUCAUGUCAUCUCUGGGAGCUUUUCCUACCAC